rnacentral:rRNA from 1 species
CCCCGAAAGCUAUUUAGGUAGCGCCUCGUGAAUUCAUCUCCGGGGGUAGAGCACUGUUUCGGCAAGGGGGUCAUCCCGACUUACCAACCCGAUGCAAACUGCGAAUACCGGAGAAUGUUAUCACGGGAGACACACGGCGGGUGCUAACGUCCGUCGUGAAGAGGGAAACAACCCAGACCGCCAGCUAAGGUCCCAAAGUCAUGGUUAAGUGGGAAACGAUGUGGGAAGGCCCAGACAGCCAGGAUGUUGGCUUAGAAGCAGCCAUCAUUUAAAGAAAGCGUAAUAGCUCACUGGUCGAGUCGGCCUGCGCGGAAGAUGUAACGGGGCUAAACCAUGCACCGAAGCUGCGGCAGCGACACUGUGUGUUGUUGGGUAGGGGAGCGUUCUGUAAGCCUGUGAAGGUGUGCUGUGAGGCAUGCUGGAGGUAUCAGAAGUGCGAAUGCUGACAUAAGUAACGAUAAAGCGGGUGAAAAGCCCGCUCGCCGGAAGACCAAGGGUUCCUGUCCAACGUUAAUCGGGGCAGGGUGAGUCGACCCCUAAGGCGAGGCCGAAAGGCGUAGUCGAUGGGAAACAGGUUAAUAUUCCUGUACUUGGUGUUACUGCGAAGGGGGGACGGAGAAGGCUAUGUUGGCCGGGCGACGGUUGUCCCGGUUUAAGCGUGUAGGCUGGUUUUCCAGGCAAAUCCGGAAAAUCAAGGCUGAGGCGUGAUGACGAGGCACUACGGUGCUGAAGCAACAAAUGCCCUGCUUCCAGGAAAAGCCUCUAAGCAUCAGGUAACAUCAAAUCGUACCCCAAACCGACACAGGUGGUCAGGUAGAGAAUACCAAGGCGCUUGAGAGAACUCGGGUGAAGGAACUAGGCAAAAUGGUGCCGUAACUUCGGGAGAAGGCACGCUGAUAUGUAGGUGAAGUCCCUCGCGGAUGGAGCUGAAAUCAGUCGAAGAUACCAGCUGGCUGCAACUGUUUAUUAAAAACACAGCACUGUGCAAACACGAAAGUGGACGUAUACGGUGUGACGCCUGCCCGGUGCCGGAAGGUUAAUUGAUGGGGUCAGCGCAAGCGAAGCUCUUGAUCGAAGCCCCGGUAAACGGCGGCCGUAACUAUAACGGUCCUAAGGUAGCGAAAUUCCUUGUCGGGUAAGUUCCGACCUGCACGAAUGGCGUAAUGAUGGCCAGGCUGUCUCCACCCGAGACUCAGUGAAAUUGAACUCGCUGUGAAGAUGCAGUGUACCCGCGGCAAGACGGAAAGACCCCGUGAACCUUUACUAUAGCUUGACACUGAACAUUGAGCCUUGAUGUGUAGGAUAGGUGGGAGGCUUUGAAGUGUGGACGCCAGUCUGCAUGGAGCCGACCUUGAAAUACCACCCUUUAAUGUUUGAUGUUCUAACGUGGACCCGUGAUCCGGGUUGCGGACAGUGUCUGGUGGGUAGUUUGACUGGGGCGGUCUCCUCCUAAAGAGUAACGGAGGAGCACGAAGGUUGGCUAAUCCUGGUCGGACAUCAGGAGGUUAGUGCAAUGGCAUAAGCCAGCUUGACUGCGAGCGUGACGGCGCGAGCAGGUGCGAAAGCAGGUCAUAGUGAUCCGGUGGUUCUGAAUGGAAGGGCCAUCGCUCAACGGAUAAAAGGUACUCCGGGGAUAACAGGCUGAUACCGCCCAAGAGUUCAUAUCGACGGCGGUGUUUGGCACCUCGAUGUCGGCUCAUCACAUCCUGGGGCUGAAGUAGGUCCCAAGGGUAUGGCUGUUCGCCAUUUAAAGUGGUACGCGAGCUGGGUUUAGAACGUCGUGAGACAGUUCGGUCCCUAUCUGCCGUGGGCGCUGGAGAACUGAGGGGGGCUGCUCCUAGUACGAGAGGACCGGAGUGGACGCAUCACUGGUGUUCGGGUUGUCAUGCCAAUGGCACUGCCCGGUAGCUAAAUGCGGAAGAGAUAAGUGCUGAAAGCAUCUAAGCACGAAACUUGCCCCGAGAUGAGUUCUCCCUGACCCUUUAAGGGUCCUGAAGGAACGUUGAAGACGACGACGUUGAUAGGCCGGGUGUGUAAGCGCAGCGAUGCGUUGAGCUAACCGGUACUAAUGAACCGUGAGGCUUAACCUUACAACGCCGAAGGUGUUU